rnacentral:misc_RNA from 1 species
UGAGGUUGGAGAUCUGCUGC